rnacentral:rRNA from 1 species
UACGGAGGAUCCAAGCGUUAUCCGGAUUUAUUGGGUUUAAAGGGUGCGUAGGCGGCUUAUUAAGUCAGGGGUGAAAGACGGUGGCUCAACCAUCGCAGUGCCUUUGAUACUGAUGAGCUUGAAUGAACUAGAGGUAGGCGGAAUGUGACAAGUAGCGGUGAAAUGCAUAGAUAUGUCACAGAACACCGAUUGCGAAGGCAGCUUACUAUGGUUUUAAUUGACGCUGAGGCACGAAAGCGUGGGGAUCAAACAGG